rnacentral:rRNA from 1 species
AUUGAACGCUGGCGGCAUGCCUUACACAUGCAAGUCGAACGGCAGCGGGGGAGAAGCUUGCUUUUCCUGCCGGCGAGUGGCGAACGGGAGAGUAAUACAUCGGAACGUGCCCUGUAGUGGGGGAUAACUAGUCGAAAGAUUAGCUAAUACCGCAUACGACCUGAGGGUGAAAGUGGGGGACCGCAAGGCCUCAUGCUAUAGGAGCGGCCGAUGUCUGAUUAGCUAGUUGGUGGGGUAAAGGCCUACCAAGGCGACGAUCAGUAGCUGGUCUGAGAGGACGAUCGUCCACACUGGGACUGGGACACGGCCCAGACUCCUACGGGAGGCAGCAGUGGGGAAUUUUGGACAAUGGGCGAAAGCCUGAUCAAGCAAUGCCGCGUGUGUGAAGAAGGCCUUCGGGUUGUAAAGCACUUUUGUCCGGAAAGAAAUGGCUCUGGUUAAUACCUGGGGUCGAUGACGGUACCGGAAGAAUAAGGACCGGCUAACUACGUGCCAGCCGCCGCAGUAA